rnacentral:rRNA from 1 species
GACGAACGCUGGCGGCGUGCUUAACACAUGCAAGUCGAGCGGAAAGGCCCUUCGGGGUACUCGAGCGGCGAACGGGUGAGUAACACGUGAGCAACCUGCCCCAAGCUUUGGGAUAACCCCGGGAAACCGGGGCUAAUACCGAAUAUUACCUGGCCUCGCAUGGGGUUGGGUGGAAAGUUUUUCGGCUUGGGAUGGGCUCGCGGCCUAUCAGCUUGUUGGUGGGGUGAUGGCCUACCAAGGCGACGACGGGUAGCCGGCCUGAGAGGGCGACCGGCCACACUGGGACUGAGACACGGCCCAGACUCCUACGGGAGGCUG